rnacentral:lncRNA from 1 species
GGGGAGGCCCAGGACACUGCACUGCCAAGGGCAGAGCACCACUCAACCACGGGGUUCUUGCUAUUAACACUUCACACCCUGACUCUCUGCAGACAUUUCCUCCUAAGAGACUCGUUGCCGCCCUCUGAGACAAGCUCUUCAGGCCUGCUGAGAGUGUCAGGUGGCAAGAUGAAAGAGAUUUCCAGCUGUGACUUGUAAUCACACUGCCUCAAUGUAUAUACUGCAAGGAUGAAUAGCCUUUACCUCAACAAACAGCAGUUACAUUGGACAGAACAACAAGAGAUUGCUCCUGUAUAAAUAUUUUGAUCGGAUGACUCCAACUUGAAGGUCUGGUGGAAGUCAUCUUGAGGAGAACACAGAGAAUCAUCACUGUUAUGCUCAUUAAUUUGAAUCAUCAGUGUCCAUGAAGCCUUUUGUCCUAACCAAUGGUUCUCUUACGGGAAUAAUAAACCAAGAUGUUAUGAUACCAAGCUGGAGAAACCACUUAAGGCCAUAUAAUGGGCAACCCCCUGGUCUCCAGAGGCUAGAGUUGAUCACCUGAGGGAUGACCUGGAUAUCUGGGUCAUAACAUCCACUGUUCUCCCACUUAGUACCGGCUUCUGAUUCUCAAACCUUUCUAUUUCAGAGGGAAAAUGUUUAAGCAAUUAUUUUCUGAUUUUCGGUAAUGCGUGUUAAGUUGACUCGUUCAUGUAUGAAUGUUACCCUGGUCAGCCCCGUAACACCCCAGGCACUGGUCUGUGAUGUGCAACCUCCUGACCGAGUGUGGGCUCUUGUGCUAGAUUAAAUUCCUAGAGCUUGAACCACUGCGUGACUGGCGAUGUCCUCCUGGGGAAAGGAGCCAAUAGGCAUUAAGUGUGCUGUCAUUUCAGCUGGUCUCCUCACUAAACACACUGCAGAGAUUAUUUUUUAAAAAGGUAAACAGAGCCAGGCAUGGUGGCUCAUGCCCGUAGUUCCAACUACUCAGGAGGCUGAGGUGAAAGGAAACCCUUAGCCCAGGAGUUCCAGGCUGGUGAAGAUCAUCUUGAGAACAUAGAGAAUCAGAACUGUUUUGCACCUAAUUAAUUUGACUCAUCAGUGUCCCUUAUACCUUUUGUCUUAACCAGUGAUCUCCUAUAGGUAUAGUAAAAACUAAGAUGUUACAGGAGUUCGAGGCUACAGCGAGGUAUGAUCGUGUCACUGCACUUUAGCCUGGGUGACAGAGAAAGACCCCAUCUCUAAAAAAAGAAAUAAAAAUAAAAGGCAAACCUAAUGGAG